GACGAACGCUGGCGGCGUGCUUAACACAUGCAAGUCGAACGGAAAGGCCCUGCUUUUGUGGGGUGCUCGAGUGGCGAACGGGUGAGUAACACGUGAGUAACCUGCCCUUGACUUUGGGAUAACUUCAGGAAACUGGGGCUAAUACCGGAUAGGAGCUCCUGCUGCAUGGUGGGGGUUGGAAAGUUUCGGCGGUUGGGGCUGGACUCGCGGCUUAUCAGCUUGUUGGUGGGGUAGUGGCUUACCAAGGCUUUGACGGAUAGCCGGCCUGAGAGGGUUACCGGCCACAUGGGGCCUGAGAUACGGACCAGACUCCUACGGGAGGCAGCAGUGGGGAACAUUGCACAAUGGGCGGAAGCCUGAUGCAGCAACGCCGCGUGCGGGAUGACGGCCUUCGGGUUGUAAACCGCUUUCGCCUGUGACGAAGCGUGAGUGACGGUAAUGGGUAAAGAAGCACCGGCUAACUACGUG
rnacentral:rRNA from 1 species